UACGGAGGGUGCGAGCGUUGUCCGGAAUCAUUGGGCGUAAAGGGCGCGUAGGUGGCCUGCUAAGCGUGCGGUGAAAGCUCGGGGCUCAACCCCGAGUCGGCCGUGCGAACUGGUGGGCUUGAGCACUGUAGAGGCAGGCGGAAUUCCGGGUGUAGCGGUGGAAUGCGCAGAGAUCCGGAAGAACACCGGUGGCGAAGGCGGCCUGCUGGGCAGUAGCUGACACUGAGGCGCGACAGCGUGGGGAGCAAACAGG
rnacentral:rRNA from 1 species